rnacentral:rRNA from 1 species
AUUGAACGCUGGCGGCAUGCCUUACACAUGCAAGUCGAACGGUAGAGGGGGCAACCCCUUGAGAGUGGCGAACGGGUGAGUAAUGCAUCGGAACGUGCCCAGUCGUGGGGGAUAGCCCGGGGAAACCCGGAUUAAUACCGCAUACGACCUGAGGGUGAAAGCGGGGGACCGGUAACGGCCUCGCGCGAUUGGAGCGGCCGAUGUCGGAUUAGCUAGUUGGUGGGGUAAAGGGCUACCAAGGCGACGAUCCGUAGCUGGUCUGAGAGGACGACCAGCCACACUGGGACUGAGACACGGCCCAGACUCCGACGGGAGGCAGCAGUGGGGAAUUUUGGACAAUGGGGGCAACCCUGAUCCAGCCAUGCCGCGUGCGGGAAGAAGGCCUUCGGGUUGUAAACCGCUUUUGUCAGGGAAGAAAUCCUUUGGGCUAAUACCCUGGGGGGAUGACGGUACCUGAAGAAUAAGCACCGGCUAACUGCGUGCCAGCCGCCGCCGUAA